rnacentral:lncRNA from 1 species
UGUGGUUGGUAUUGAGGAACUGUCAGGGUGGGUCCUUGAACACCAGCUGGGCCAGGAUCUCCCGUAGCACCGGGUUCUCCUUUGUUUCCUUGAGCACCAGGUUCACCAUUGUUACCCUUAGGUCCAGGGGAACCUCCGGGGCCUUGAGGUCCAGGAGCACCACAGGCACCAGGGAAGCCAGGGGCACCAGCAAUACUAGGAGUACCAGUGGGGCCAGCUUGACCGGGAGAACCGGGUUCACCAUGAGCACCUUGGGGUGAACCCCUGCUAUCCACAAUUAAAACACUGCUGAAGUUACCACCUCUACAAAAGUUAGACCCUUUGAUCAAAUCCUCUACCUCUGCCUCUAAAACUUUUCUGAUUCAAUCUCCUAUCACCUCCCAAAUGUCCGUGUCUCGCCUGCUUAAGAUCACAAUCCUUUGUGACCGAUACAACAUACUUUUCCCUCUUUCUUUAUAUCAAAACAACCUGCUGUAUCUUUCUCAUGAAUCUUCCCAAGAAAUUCAGUUGGGGUCAAAGCGGGCCAGUCACAGACCAACAGUUUGCCCAAAAGUGAACAAGGAGGAAGCAUAUUCCACAUGCAGGUCGAGAUUACCUAACUCACACCCCCUCUUUGUGUACCACACAGAUAUAUUAAUAAGCUUUUGAAGAUUUAUUGUAUAUGUAUAGCAUAGCAGUUGUCUAGGGGUGUAUACAUAAACAGUGAAAGCAGAGUCUUCAUAUAAGGUUUGCAAUUCUGACAGUCUGGGUCAUAGGUGUAAUGCAGACAUGCGGUUAGGUACUUUCCCAUUGUCAGAACACUAAUAUAUUGCAAAUAUUAAAAUCAUAUUGCAGCUGUUUCCUAUACCUGCCAGGAUAUGGUUGUAAUACUUCAAUUGAGUUCAAAUUGAGUAUCAAAAGUCUAACCACAAAAACUAAAUUUUAUAUGCUUAUCAAAAAUGAGUUUAACCCCUUAGCGAUUUAAUAGGGUGAUCUCUUCCCAUAGUAUAAUUCCUUUUAUAACUAUUAUAUUAUUUAUUCUCUUCUGGGUCUGCAAAAUGCUUUCAAUAUACCAAUACAAAUAUAAUACAGUAGUUUAGAAUUGCCUCAAAAGAAAUUAUCUGAUUGCUAUUAAAAAUACCCUUUCAUCAUUUUGCUAUAAUCAAUGAGGCAUACUAGAUAAAUAUUAAUCUUGGAAAAACCUAUCCUAUACAUUUCUUGUUAUAUAACCAUAUAACAUAACAAUUGUUUAUGUUAAAGAUAACAAUUUUUUCUUUUUCUUUGACUUAAAUAAUGCAAUGCACUUUAAAAGUAGAGUUAACUCUAAAUACUCCCCUGAUAAUACGGAGAGAGAGAGAGAGAGCCAUUUAAAAUUGGAAACGUGGAUCUACGAUUUUGAAAAGCAGAUGAUAUUUUUUUUUUCUUUCUCAGGGGCCCCUUUUUCGUGAGCUGAUCAGCAUUUAAUCUGUUGUAAAAAGACACUAAAGGCUUGUGUUAAUGACAUGCAAAUAUUCUUUAAAUAUUCUUCAUACUCAUUGUAAUAUCACACAUGUCAUCUUAUAACACAGAACACAGCGAAUGUAGCAGAUAUCCAGCAGGCAUGCCAAUACAAAAAACUUAUUCAUGGACAGGCAAUUAAUCCAAAAUAAAUUAAUAAAUGUCACACUCGGUGUCCCUCAAAAGAAACACAGACAUAAUGUAGGUUCCCAUGUUUGUGCAUUAUGCAUGUCUGCAGACUAUGCAAGCAGUACUGCUUUAAGAUUAGAUCAGAGAACCUGGCAACUGGACAGGAAAGUCGAAUUUUGGCAAGUAGUCCAUUAUUGCAACAGAAUUUUGGAAAUCAGCUAAAACUUACAAAAACAGCCCUGCCUCCCACCUCCCCCCUGUUAUUUUUUUUUUUUUUUUUUUUAAGACUGCAACUCAUAUUGCUCUUGGACUAGUAUUCAAUAAUAAAUCAGUUAUUUAAUAGAUUAUUACGCUGCCAUUUCCAUCUGUAUCAAUACUGAGACAAACAUUCAAAUAUAAUUUAAAAUAACACAGCAAAAUACCCAUUAACAUACAUGACAAACUGCAUACUUCAAAAUUAGUAACCAAAACACACAUUUAUCACAAUCACCAUUUACACAGAAUAAACUUUUAACAGCUGUAUUCAGAACAUAUUAUUGUAGGGUAUACCAAUUUUAGUUUGUAUCAAAUUUAUUUAAAAAGUUUUUUUUUCUUUUUAAAGAAGGGAUCCCGUACGGCCAUAUAAAGCGUUUGACUUAAACAUUUGUAUAACACGUGCAUUAACCAGUUGCAACAUACGUACCCUGUCAAUAGAAUUUCUCUCUUAUACGCUUAUAAAACAUUUGGACCAGAUUACACAGACAUGGUAUCACCUGCAUUUGUCAGAACUCUCAAAGACUCAAAAUAUUUAUACUACUCCAUGUUAAAGGCAUGGCAAAAUUUUGACCGGUCAAUUUGAGUUACCAAAAGUCAUAUCAACACAGGUAAAAACCUUUGUCCAUGGUUUUCUGAUCCUACAUUCCAUGACCAAAAUUUCAAACCCACUUCUGCACAGUUUGGGUCCCAAUCAAUAAAAUCUCAGCAUCCCCAUACAACAAUUCUAAAUUUUGCUCUCCAAUUUAAAACAUCUCCAUUUACAACAUAAAUUCUCUGCAACAAACACACAGGGCAGAAAGAAUGUGGUGUUUGACGUUUUGAAUGAAGUGACUUUUUGUCCCAAUAUGAAAAUAAAGGGCUCAUCAUAUAAACAAUCAUACAUCCCCCUCUCAUUAAAAAGUGUAGUGGGCUUAUAGUACUUUUGUCCAAGUAUAAAAUAAAGGGCUCAUUAUUCAAACAAACAUACAUGCAGAGACAUCAUGUUAGUUCUAGAAUUUGUAGCCCCCUCCUUAAAUAACCUCUAUUUUUUUUUCUCUUAUUCAUCAUCACCUUUACAUGUACUUUUAAUAUUCCCUCAAUUUAGACCUUUUGCUUAAAAUCAGCAUUGCACAUCAUAAAAUAGCACAUAAAGCAAGCUGGAGUAAUGCCAAACAUCCAUCAUACUCCGAAUGGAGGCGUGGGUUUGAAUCCCACUUCUGACACCAAUUUGUUGGGGAUAAAAUCAGCCCGGGCCCUUUGUGGAUGAUGGAUAUUUGCCAACUCAUUCAGAGCUCUGGAAAUUGGAAAUGAAUAGCAGAGUUCAAUAUCCAAUUGUGGAUAGCAGGGGUUCACCCCAAUGUGCUCGUGGUGAACCCGGUUCUCCCAGUCAAGCUGGCCCACUGGUACUCCUGGUAUUGCUGGUGCCCCUGGCUUCCCUGGUGCCUGUGGGACCUCAAGGCCCCAGAGGUUCCCUGGACCUAAGGGUAACAAUGGUGAACCUGGUGCUCAAGGAAACAAAGGAGAACCUGGUGCUAAGGGAGAUCCUGGCCCAGCUGGCGUUCAAGGACCCACCCUGACAGUUCCUCAAUACCAACCACAGCUUCCAACCUAUACCCACAACCAAUUAAAAUUUUAUUCAUACGUCAGUUAUAUUUAUACCCCGUUUUCAUAGGAGGAUGGGAGGGGGGAAAAUUAGCAUAUGGGCAUGACAAUGAUGACAAUGACAUUUCGAAAUCAGUACUUUUCCCGUAAAUAGGAUUUUAGAUAAAAUUUAUUUCCGAGAAUCGGAGAUAUAAUUCCAAAUGUAUUCUUGGUUCAAAUUAACCCUUAUAUGAACAGCUAGGAUAGAUAGCAAAAUGGAUAUUCAUAUCUACAGUGUGAUGUCUGCCAGCGAGUGGGGAAAAGAGGGGACCACCCUAAGGCUCAACUGUUACCCAUGCCAGUGAUCGAGGAACUCUUUAGCAGGGUAGCAGUCGACCUAGUAGGGCCCAUACCCAACCCCAGCCCCUAACCAACCCCCAUACAUUCUUACCGUAGUGGACUACACUACUCACUAUCCGAAGGCCGUCACUCUGAUUCAAAAAUCCUUUCAUAUCAACCUCCUGAAAGAAUAUCAGGAGAGGCCAGAGAACAAAGCAGCCAUAUGUAUCCCCGCUACAGAUGACCCUGACAGCCUACCUAUCCCCAACUUCCUAGCUUGUCCUGCGCCCGGCAGGCUGCUUAGUGCUGUCCAGCUAGGGGAGCGCCUAAACCCUGCAGAAAAGGGCCAACUUAGACAACUGUUCGCAGAAAAAGAGUUAACCUUUUCCCAAGAACCAGGAUACACUACGCUAGCGACACACCACGUAGAAACCCCUGGACAAGCGCAUCUCAGACAACCCCUCUAUCGGAUCCCAGAGGCAGUUAAGGAGGGGAUGAGGAAAGAAAUUAAAGAAAUGCUUAAGCUAGGAGUUAUAGAGUUAUCCAACAGCCCCUGGGCCUCUCCAGUAGUCUUAGUCCCCAAAAAGGAUGGGCCCACACGGUUCUGCGUUGACUAUAGACGCCUCAAUGACCGAAAAGUGACAGAUGCUUAUCCGAUGCCCCGAGUGGAUGAACUAUUAGAUCGUAUUGCCAGGGGACGUUAUCUGACCACCAUCGAAUUGUGCAAGGGCUAUUGGCAGAUCCCCCUGGCCAAAGAGGCUAUCCCCCAAGUCGGCCUUCGUCAUCCUGUUUGGCCUAUAUCAAUUUAAGGUUAUGCCAUUCGGGAUGAAGAAUGCCCCAGCCACUUUCCAACGCUUGGUGGAUAGGCUCCUUGAUGGCUUCCAGGACUUCGCUUGUGCGUACCUGGAUGACAUUGCGAUCUAUAGUGAGACAUGGGGGGAGCAUCUAAAACACGUAGAGGCCGUAUUGGAUCAGAUUCGGGCCACAGGCCUGACUCUGAAACCUGAAAAAUGCCACCUGGCCAUGAUCAAGGUCCAGUACUUGGGACACCGGGUAGGGUGUGGAAAGUAGCGCCCCAAACCGGCCAAGAUUGAGGCAGUAGCAAAUUGGCCCACCCCCCACAACAAGACCCAAGUACUGGCCUUCCUAGGGACAGCGGGGUAUUACAGAAAAUUUGUGCCUGACUAUAGCACUAUUGCUAAGCCCCUGACAGAUUUAACUAAAAAGAACCUACCCAGAAUAGUCCUGUGGUCUCCCUCCUGUGAAGCAGCCUUUCAAGCACUAAAGAACGCUUUGAUCAAUGCUCCUGUAUUAGCUGAAGGAGCCCUACGGUGAUGGUGGAACUUGAGGAGUACACCACUGUGGCGGACCGCCUGGCAGGUACCUGGCUAAAGCUUCAUAUUCAAUCAGGGACCAGUGGCAGGUACCUGGCUAAAGCUUAAUUUUCAAUCAGGGACCAGUGGAAGGUACCUGGCUAAAGCUUCAUAUCCAAUCGGGGACUAGUGGCAGGUACCUGGCUAAAGCUUCAUAUCCAAUCAGGAACCAGUGGAAGGUACCUGGCUAAAGCUUCAUAUUCAAUCAGGUACCAGUGGCAGGUACCUGGCUAAAGCUUCAUAUUCAAUCAGGUACCUGGCUAAAGCUUCAUAUUCAAUCAGGGACCAGUGGCAGGUACCUGGCUAAAGCUUCAUAUCCAAUCGGGGACCAGUGGCAGGUACCUGGCUAAAGCUUCAUAUCCAAUCAGGAACCAGUGGAAGGUACCUGGCUAAAGCUUCAUAUCCAAUCAGGAACUAGUGGAAGAUACCUAGAUACAGCUUUAUACCCUACCAGACAUCAUUACAAGGCACCUGGUGAAAGCUUCAUAUCCAAUCAGGUAUAAGAAAAAGAGACCUAGCUAAAGCUUUAUACCUAAGCAGGUAUCACUGGAAGGUAGAUAGCCAAAACGUCAAACCCAAUCAGGGAUCAGUGAAAUGCACAUGGCCAAUGCUUCAUACUCAAGAAGCGGAUACCUUGAGAAUAAAUCUAUGUCUCUAAGCAGCACCUUGCUUGAUGGACGAUAUAAACAUCCUACGCACUGCCCUUACAGGAUUACACUGUCCGCGUUACUCAUUAAAAUGUGAAUUUCCGUGUAGUUUAAGACAACAUAUGUUAAUUCAUUGAGCAUCGUAUUUAAAUUUCAUUUGGCAGCUUUAAAUAUGAAGAUAUUAACUAUUGCAACAAGUUUCUCCAUUAGCCGGCAGAGAUUCUCAACUGGACAGUAUAACACAUGGUGAAUAAAACUGAAUUCUAUGCAUGAAUUCACUGUAUAGUAUGGGGUCCAAUAAAACAUUCAGAUAUUAACCUUUACAAUAGCGCCAGCCUCCCAAACAGCUUUGGCCUCUAAGCCUUUCUGCCAGUGCCAUUAUCCAGGAUAUUUAUUUAGCGUGACAUUAGCACUAUGCCAACACCCAUGAGAUUGAUACAGACCGUGUACAUUCUAUCAUUCCAGGAAAAUGACAGACGAAGGUUGGUUAUAUACACACCAGAUUUAUUGAAGAAAAGCAUUGUUGCAAAAAUAGUGAUAUUCAAACAUGUUAUGUACAUUGCUCUUUUUGGUUUUAGCGAAGCCUAAAAUAAGAGUUUAGUUCCAACGGUGAAACAAAUAUACAGAUAAAACGUAUACAAACACACCUUUCUAGUUUUGACAUUAAAAUUAUUUUAUUUAUAACAUGGUUGAGUCUUCAAAAUAUUCACAGUAAUAGCAUUAAAAUUAAACAUAUAGGAUUAUUUUUAAAAAAUAUAUAUACACCAGAGUACAUUCAGCAAAAUAAAGAUAUUUCCCUUUUUGAAAUUCACAUUUAGAGUUUGUACUAUUCUAAAUACUUUGUGCGUCGAGGCGGAUGAUACACACAAACAUCCUGAAUCAGGAGGAGCCCUGGAUUAGCUUAACACCCUAAAUAAACAAAGCUUCCAAAUACUUGACCACCUACAAAGGUAAAAUAAAAACCAAAUGUUCAACAAUACAUACAGGUCCCCAACAGAAAGACGAGAAACAUGGAUGUCUGUUUCUUGCUAUGCGUUAGAUUUUCUCUGCCCAACCAAGAGUUUAAUUCACUCCAUUUUACUGGUGCAGAUCAUGUGUCACAGGUUAAAGGAACAUGCAUCACUUUGCAGGCUGAAAACAAGCAGGCGAGUUAUGUUUUUUCAGGUAAACCUGUUUCUUCUUUCUUAUGCUUUCCACACCCACUCCAGGGGGAACACUGAUCUGACCAAUCAGUGUCCUAUCCCUAGGAAUAAUGGAAAAGUGCAAUGGGCUUGCCGGACAGAUUUUUACCUAUGUACAGUAGGAAGAUCUCUUCACCUUGCAACAUCCUGACAGGCGGUUAGUGUAAUCAUGCAGAGCAGGCUCUGCGGUUAUGGGUUCUCUCUCCUCCUGCUGCGCAAUGACCCCCUUAUUCUGUCAUUAGUGAAAUGGUCUAGAUCAGGCAUAGGCAACCUUCGGCACUCCAGAUGUUUUGGACUACACCUCCCAUGAUCCUUUACCAGCAUUAUGGGUGUAAGAGCAUUAUGGGGGAUGUAGUCCACAACAUCUGGAGUGCCGAAGGUUGCCUAUCCCUGGUCUAGAUUACUAUGUGGAUAAGGUGGGGAGGGCUGAAGAAACUCCCCUAGUUGAGAAGCAUGCAUUACAAGCUGACAACGUUUUUUUGUUAAUGUUUAUUACAUACUUUUCAAAGUUGUGUUUGCUUUAUUUUGAUAUGUUUAAAAGUGUUUGCUUCCUGGUUUAAAAAUUUUUUUUCAAGUGAUGCAUGUCCCUUUAAUACUGUGUGACGUGACAACUAUGUAUACACCCUGGUCGGCUGGAGGUUUAUACAAUAAGCUCAGUUUUUAUUUAGAAAAUAAAGGAAGACUGGAGAUUGGCUGAANNNNNNNNNNNNNNNNNNNNNNNNNNNNNNNNNNNNNNNNNNNNNNNNNNNNNNNNNNNNNNNNNNNNNNNNNNNNNNNNNNNNNNNNNNNNNNNNNNNNAAAGGAUGGCAAUACUCGUGUUUGGUCUACCGAGGCACUUCAGGCUUUUGAAUUUCUUAAAACUACGUUCGCUUCUGCACCUAUUUUACAGCAUCCUGUCCCCUCACUGCCCUAUAUUCUUGAAGUUGAUGCUUCGGAUAUUGGGGUAGGUGCUGUCUUAUCCCAAAGAGAGUCGCCUGAGAAGCCAUUGCAUACAUGCGGCUUCUUUUCUAAACAAAUGUCCAAAGCAGAGAAAAAUUAUGAUGUGGGUAAUCGCGAACUCCUUGCUAUUAUUUUAGCACUUAAAGAGUGGAGACAUUUGUUAGAAGGAACUAAGGAUCCCAUCCUCAUUUUUACGGAUCACAAGAACCUAUCCUACCUUAGCGAAGCCAAAAGAUUGUCUUCCAGGCAGGCUAGGUGGUCACUAUUUUUGUCCCGUUUCAAUUUUAUUAUCACCUAUAGGCCAGGUGAUCGCAACACUAAAGCAGACGCUCUGUCCAGACAGUUCGAAACUACUGACAAACAGGAGAUUGAUGUUACUCCUGUCAUUCCCCAGACAGGAUAAUAGCUACUACUAUUUUGUCUAUUUCCUCGUCCCUCUUGCAGGCCAUACAAGCGAAACAAAGCAUGGCACCUAGCGAGAGGCCUAAUGAUAAACUGUUUGUUGAUGUUCCUGAGAGAUGGGAUAUUAUGUCAUUAUAUCAUGAUACUAAGACCGCUGGACAUCCUGGUAUUUCCAAAACGGUGUCAGCUGUUUCUCGGUAUUUUUGGUGGGAUUCCUUACGAAAGGAUGUCACCGACUAUAUAAGUGCUUGUACUACUUGUGCCUGUAUGAAAUCCUCCCGUAGAGUUCCUUGUGGGCUGUUGCAUCCGUUACCCGUUCCCGAGAGACCUUGGUCUAACCUGUCCAUGGAUUUUAUUGUUGAAUUACCCCUUCAAAUGGUAACACAGUAAUCCUGAUGAUAGUGGAUCGGUUCUCCAAAAUGGCUCACUUCGUGUCUCUUCACAAGUUGCCCACAUCCAAGGAACUGGCUCAUAUCUUCGCUAGAGAAGUAUUUCAAUUACAUGGGAUUCCCGUAUCUAUUGUAUCCGAUAGGGGUAGCCAAUUUAUUUCCAGGUUCUGGAGGGCCUUUUGUUCAGAAAUGGGUAUUUCUUUCUCAUUUUCUUCCGCUUAUCAUCCCCAGUCUAAUGGGGCUGCUGAACGUGCCAACCAGUCUCUGGAGCAAUACCUCCGUUGUUUUGUGUCUCACCAUCAGGACAAUUGGUCUGACCUGCUUCCUUGGGCUGAAUUCGCUCGGAAUAACGCCACUCAUGAUUCUUCCGGCAAGACCCCUUUUUACGUUGUCUAUGGCCAGCAUCCCGUUGUUCUUCCGGCUGCAUUCUCCUCACAGGGCAUGCCAGUUCUGGAUGAGCAUUUGGCUGGUUUGCGUAAUACUUGGGAGCAGGUUCAGCGCUCUUUGGUGGACUCUGCUACUCGCCAGAAGGCUCAGGCUGACAAGCAUCGCAGAGCAGCUCCGUCCUAUGUUGUGGGGGACAGGGUUUUGCUUUCCACGCUGAAUAUUCGUCUCCGGGUGCCUUCUAUGAAAUUGGCUCCCCGCUUCAUUGGACCUUAUCGUAUUAUACAUAAGGUUAAUCCUGUUUCUUAUGCCUUAGGCCUGCCUAAGAAUCUGCGUAUUCCUAAUGUUUUUCACACUUCAUUGUUGAAACCUUUCGUACGCAACCGCUAUACCCGGCAUACUCCUCCUCCCCCUCCUAUCUCGGUGGAGGGUCAUGAGGAGUUUGAAGUGUCUGCUGUUCUUGACUCUCGUUUCCUUAGGGGUCGACUUCAGUACUUGGUACAUUGGAAGGGUUAUGGGCCUGAGGAGCACAGCUGGAUUUCGGCUGAUGCUGUCCAUGCUCCCCGUCUUGUGCGCUCUUUCCAUUCUCGUUUUCCUGCCAGGCCUGGUCCUACCCGCCCGGGGGGCGUGUCCUCAGGGGGAGGUACUGUAGCGUUACUUACCUUAACCGGGGGCCGGUCGCGGUCCUCUCUUCAAGCCGCGCGCCUGAAACUAAGAGACUCGCGGCGCGCUCUUAAAGAGACAGUGGGAGCCUAAUUGCCAAAAGGCUCCCAUUGGCUCCUGUCAUACCACACUCCCUGUACAAUUACCUAUAGGGGGUGUGGAAGUGACAGGAGCCAAUCACUUUCGUUUUAAAGCUAUUUAAACUUACCUUUUUCCCUUAGCUCGUUGCCCUAUCGUGGUUUCUGUUUCAGUUCCCUUUAGCGCUUGUGGUGUUCAGUUGUGUUUUCUCGCAUUGACUUUGGCUUCGUAUUCUGACUUCGUUUUCGCUUUAUCCUUAUCUGUACUGUUUGCCGGCUUGCUGUUUUCCGUGUACCAGACCCCGGCUUGUCCUAGUUUACGCUGCCUCUCUGUGCCCUUGACCUCGGUUUGUUCCUGGCUCUGUCUCCUCUCAUAUACGUCGAGUCCGGCCAUUCUAAGGUCCGGUAGACGUAUCUCUCCUCUGUAUUUGCCUCUGUUUAGCUGGAUCCUGCGUGUAGGGGUAUAUUCUCGUUACACUAACAAUAAUCCCAAUCAUGACCUUGCGUCCUAUGCCUCCUAAUCACAUCCCUAUUUCGAUGGUCCAAUCAUAUCCACACUUAAUAAAUGGAAAUCCAUCCUUGGUACACCCAACAUACAUCAAUGACACACAUAGUACAUCCAUGCCUGAGUAAGCUAACACUUCCUCUCUCUCCGGCUAACUCUACAAAAAUAAAAAUAACAAAGUAGUUCAAUAGUCCAGCAGAGUCCAGAAAAACAGAAUAAGUCUUUCAUGGAGUAUAAAGAAUCUUAGACUCCAUAAACUUUGUUCCAUAAGCUUAGACACCAUAACAUAGCUAAGGGUAGCAAUAUGGCUGACAACAAGACAAUGUCAGCUUCCACAUAGUUCUUAAUUCUUCUGUUUGCUGGAUGUUCACCACAAUACUCUGUGCAACACCCCAAUUGUUGAAAGGGUAAUACAGAAAUAGUGGCAUUAGACAGCACUGCACCUUCAGGACUUUCCAAGUUAGUUUAUGUCCUCAUAAGUAAGCAUCUCAGUUUCUUCGGCCAGCAUGGAUUUUGACCAAACAGAUUUAAUUGUGAAAAAGGUAGGUAGGCAGGUAGGUCAGCCAGAGAGAUUGGUGUGUAGUCCCAAAUAUCAGACGGCACAAAUACUCCAGUACGGUCUCCAUAAUCAUACAAACACAAGGAUCAGUACGACAUCAAUAAAUUAAUUAUCUAGGCUAAAUUUAAAUUAGAGACUAAAGUUAAACUCUUAACUAGUGUAACAUGUACUUCUCUCAGUUUUGCUUAUAAUUCCUUGAAUUUGUCCUUUAUACAAUUUUAAUACAUAAUUUCCCUUUAGAAUGCCUUUGUAUGGAUGAGAGAAGCACUCAUUCUAUAUAAAUACUUAUUGAGUACUAAAACACUAACAUAUACAUAUUGGAAUAAUUCCCAAUAAAAUGCUGUUCUUAAACUUAAACCUUGAUUUGAUAAUCUCAAUUAAUUACUUUAAUAAAAUUGGAAUGCUGAAGUCUGUCAGAAAUUUUGUGGACCCCGAUAACAUCUUUGGAAACCGAAACCUUUUAUAGAUCACGAUGUCCAAAAUACCACCAGUUCUGUAUGUGUGUGAUCAUGUUUUAAUACUGUACAGUUAUCUCACUUAAACAAUCUUUUUUUUUUCAGAACAACUAGGAAUGAAAUAGGAGAAACAAAAUGAAUUACUAUUGUUUUAAAGUGCUUUGUUUAAUACAGGUUUCGGAAGAGUUGUCUUGCUGUGUUAAGGUUGCAAGUGACCUCUGAUAAGGAAGGGACAGCAAACUGUAGACAUAUGUUAGAUUAAGUUGCCCUCACUUGUCAGGUCCUGGAAACCCACGUGUUUUAUUGUAGAUGCCUCUAUGAUACCACGUUACAAAUUGACUAAGCAUACUUAUUAUUAUCCUAUUUUAUUUUAGCUAUUUCACAUUGCGCAGCCUAUGCAAACAAUGUCUAUGUCCCAACUUCAGCUUGUACAUCCUCUAAGAGCCAGCAUUAAUACUGUUUUAUCACUCAAAACUAUAAAGUAUUAAAAACAUGAACCAUCUGUGUAUUCAGUUAGGCUGGGGUUGUUGGGUGUGGGUAUAGUUUGGAAGCUGUGGUUGGUAUUGAGGAACUGUCAGGGUGGGUCCUUGAACACCAGCUGGGCCAGGAUCUCCCGUAGCACCGGGUUCUCCUUUGUUUCCUUGAGCACCAGGUUCACCAUUGUUACCCUUAGGUCCAGGGGAACCUCCGGGGCCUUGAGGUCCAGGAGCACCACAGGCACCAGGGAAGCCAGGGGCACCAGCAAUACUAGGAGUACCAGUGGGGCCAGCUUGACCGGGAGAACCGGGUUCACCAUGAGCACCUUGGGGUGAACCCCUGCUAUCCACAAUUAAAACACUGCUGAAGUUACCACCUCUACAAAAGUUAGACCCUUUGAUCAAAUCCUCUACCUCUGCCUCUAAAACUUUUCUGAUUCAAUCUCCUAUCACCUCCCAAAUGUCCGUGUCUCGCCUGCUUAAGAUCACAAUCCUUUGUGACCGAUACAACAUACUUUUCCCUCUUUCUUUAUAUCAAAACAACCUGCUGUAUCUUUCUCAUGAAUCUUCCCAAGAAAUUCAGUUGGGGUCAAAGCGGGCCAGUCACAGACCAACAGUUUGCCCAAAAGUGAACAAGGAGGAAGCAUAUUCCACAUGCAGGUCGAGAUUACCUAACUCACACCCCCUCUUUGUGUACCACACAGAUAUAUUAAUAAGCUUUUGAAGAUUUAUUGUAUAUGUAUAGCAUAGCAGUUGUCUAGGGGUGUAUACAUAAACAGUGAAAGCAGAGUCUUCAUAUAAGGUUUGCAAUUCUGACAGUCUGGGUCAUAGGUGUAAUGCAGACAUGCGGUUAGGUACUUUCCCAUUGUCAGAACACUAAUAUAUUGCAAAUAUUAAAAUCAUAUUGCAGCUGUUUCC